rnacentral:rRNA from 1 species
UACGGAGGAUGCGAGCGUUAUCCGGAUUUAUUGGGUUUAAAGGGUGCGUAGGCGGGAUGCCAAGUCAGCGGUAAAAAUGCGGUGCUCAACGCCGUCGAGCCGUUGAAACUGGCGUUCUUGAGUGGGCGAGAAGUAUGCGGAAUGCGUGGUGUAGCGGUGAAAUGCAUAGAUAUCACGCAGAACUCCGAUUGCGAAGGCAGCAUACCGGCGCCCUACUGACGCUGAGGCACGAAAGCGUGGGUAUCGGACAGG